rnacentral:rRNA from 1 species
UAGGGAAUCUUCCGCAAUGGGCGAAAGCUUGACGGAGCAACGCCGCGUGAGUGAUGAAGGUCUUCGGAUCGUAAAACUCUGUUAUUAGGGAAGAACAAAUGUGUAAGUAACUAUGCACGUCUUGACGGUACCUAAUCAGAAAGCCACGGCUAACUACGUGCCAGCAGCCGCGGUAAUACGUAGGUGGCAAGCGUUAUCCGGAAUUAUUGGGCGUAAAGCGCGCGUAGGCGGUUUUUUAAGUCUGAUGUGAAAGCCCACGGCUCAACCGUGGAGGGUCAUUUGAAACUGGAAAACUUGAGUGCAGAAGAGGAAAGUGGAAUUCCAUGUGUAGCGGUGAAAUGCGCAGAGAUAUGGAGGAGCACCAGUGGCGAAGGCGACUUUCUGGUCUGUAACUGACGCUGAUGUGCGAAAGCGUGGGGAUCAAACAGG